rnacentral:rRNA from 1 species
GAUUAACGCGAAGAACCUUACCUGGGCUCGAAGUGCUGGUGACCCGCGGUGGAAACAUCGCCUUCUCGCAAGAGACACCAGUAGAGGUGCUGCAUGGCUGUCGUCAGCUCGUGCCGUGAGGUGUUGGGUUAAGUCCCGCAACGAGCGCAACCCUUACUCUUAGUUGCCACCCGCAAGGGGGAACUCUAAGAGGACUGCUCCGGACAACGGAGAGGAAGGUGGGGAUGACGUCAAGUCAGCAUGGCCUUUAUGUCCAGGGCUACACACGUGUUACAAUGCACGGCACAAACCGUCGCGAACCUGCGAAGGGGAGCUAAUCGGAAAAAACCGUGCUCAGUUCGGAUUGCAGUCUGCAACUCGACUGCAUGAAGCCGGAAUCGCUAGUAAUGGCGCAUCAGAACGGCGCCGUGAAUACGUUCCCGGGCCUUGUACACACCGAAUCACUAGU